rnacentral:lncRNA from 1 species
UGGUGCCACGUGGAGUUUGUUACAGAGGAUGGAGUGAUGUCCGUUGUCGCGACUUGUCAGAGAGUUCGGGUCGGAUGGCUGAAGCUCGAUUGGGACGUCUGGUGGAGCGAAAUAGCUCUCUACCUCAGCAAUCUGGGAGAAGCUCGGACGUCUCCGAGGUUGCUGACGAGUUAGCUGUUGUUGGGUAUCGUUGGUGCUGCAAACGAAAGU